UAGGGAAUCUUCGGCAAUGGACGAAAGUCUGACCGAGCAACGCCGCGUGAGUGAAGAAGGUUUUCGGAUCGUAAAACUCUGUUGUUAGAGAAGAACAAGGACGUUAGUAACUGAACGUCCCCUGACGGUAUCUAACCAGAAAGCCACGGCUAACUACGUGCCAGCAGCCGCGGUAAUACGUAGGUGGCAAGCGUUGUCCGGAUUUAUUGGGCGUAAAGCGAGCGCAGGCGGUUUCUUAAGUCUGAUGUGAAAGCCCCCGGCUCAACCGGGGAGGGUCAUUGGAAACUGGGAGACUUGAGUGCAGAAGAGGAGAGUGGAAUUCCAUGUGUAGCGGUGAAAUGCGUAGAUAUGUGGGGGAACACCAGUGGCGAAGGCGGCUCUCUGGUCUGUAACUGACGCUGAGGCUCGAAAGCGUGGGGAGCAAACAGG
rnacentral:rRNA from 1 species